rnacentral:rRNA from 1 species
AACGAACGCUGGCGGCGCGCUUAACACAUGCAAGUCGAACGAGAAGGCGGGGCAACCCGCUGGUACAGUGGCGAACGGGUGAGUAAUGCAUGGGUAACCUACCCUCGAGUGGGGGAUAACCCGCCGAAAGGCGGGCUAAUACCGCGUACGCGUCCGCUCCUGCGGGAGGGGACGGAAAGCUGUCCCAGGGGGAUGGCGCUCAAGGAUGGGCUCAUGUCCUAUCAGCUGGUUGGUGAGGUAAUGGCUCACCAAGGCUUCGACGGGUAGCUGGUCUGAG